rnacentral:tRNA from 1 species
GGCGGGAUAGCUCAGCUGGUUAGAGCGCAGGAUUCAUAAUCCUGAGGUCGGGGGUUCGAGCCCCCCUCCCGCUA